rnacentral:rRNA from 1 species
CCUACGGGAGGCAGCAGUGAGGAAUAUUGGUCAAUGGGCGCGAGCCUGAACCAGCCAAGUCGCGUGAGGGAAGACGGUCCUAUGGAUUGUAAACCUCUUUUGUCGGGGAGCAAAAGACGCCACGCGUGGCGUUCCGAGAGUCCCCGAAGAAAAAGCAUCUGCUAACUCCGUGCCAGCAGCCGCGGUAAUACGGAGGAUGCGAGCGUUAUCCGGAGUUAUUGGGAUUAAGGGGUGCGCAGGCGGAGGAUCAAGUAAGCGGUAAAAGUGAGAGGCCCAACCGCUUCGAGCCGUUGAAACUGGGUUGCUUGAGUGAGCGAGAAGUAUGCGGAAGGCGUGGUGUAGCGGUGAAAUGCAUAGAUAUUACGCAGAACUCCGAUUGCGAAGGCAGCAUACCGGCGCUCAACUGACGCUCAUGCACGAAAGUGUGGGUAUCGAACAGGAUUAGAUACCCGGGUAGUC